GACGAACGCUGGCGGCGUGCUUAACACAUGCAAGUCGAACGGAAAGGCCCUGCUUUUGUGGUGUGCUCGAGUGGCGAACGGGUGAGUAACACGUGAGUAACCUGCCCUUGACUUUGGGAUAACUUCAGGAAACUGGGGCUAAUACCGGAUAGGAGCUCCUGCUGCAUUGUGGGGGUUGGAAAGUUUCGGCGGUUGGGGAUGGACUCGCGGCUUACCAGCUUGUUGGUGGGGUAGUGGCUUACCAAGGCUUUGACGGGUAGCCGGCCUGAGAGGGUGACCGGCCACAUUGGGACUGAGAUACGGCCCAGACUGCUACGGGAGGCAGCAGUGGGGAAUAUUGCACAAUGGGCGGAAGCCUGAUGCAGCAACGCCGCGUGCGGGAUGACGGCCUUCGGGUUGUAAACCGCUUUCGCCUGUGACGAAGCGUGAGUGACGGUAAUGGGUAAAGAAGCACCGGCUAACUACGUG
rnacentral:rRNA from 1 species